UACAGAGGGGGCGAGCGUUGUUCGGAAUUACUGGGCGUAAAGGGCGCGUAGGCGGCCCGCUAAGUCGAACGUGAAAUCCCCAGGCUCAACCUGGGAACUGCGUCCGAUACUGGCAGGCUUGAAUCCGGGAGAGGGAUGUGGAAUUCCAGGUGUAGCGGUGAAAUGCGUAGAUAUCGGGAGGAACACCAGUGGCGAAGGCGGCUAUCUGGACGAACACUGACGCUGAAGUUCGAAAGCGUGGGGAGCAAACAGG
rnacentral:rRNA from 1 species